CGCUUUUAUCCAAAGCGGCGCAUCUGAAGUAGAUACAGCACACAGUUGAUGCCCCUGAACACAUCAUCAGUGAUGCUUCCUGGACUGUUUCGGCACUGUUUCAACAUCACACUCCGUCACCCAGGACCAUAGAUAUACAUAGAAAGGCUAGAUGGCUGAUGGGAUUUUCGCCGGCGUCGUCACCGGUCGGCCAUCUUACCUCGGGGGACUUUUCCGGAGCGCUCUGUCGUAGUGGAUGGAAGGUUUCCCCAAAACACAGAGAAGAGGAGGCAAUGCGAACUCGCUCUAAGAAGGGACGGUUUUGCUGCAUCAAAAAACUGCAAACUGUGCAGCGAACAUUUCAGGAGUGAGGAUUUUGACAGGACAGGGCAGACUGUCCGGCUUAAGCGCACCUGUUAAUAAAAGAAACCUUGAUGUCA